rnacentral:lncRNA from 1 species
UCUCCUAAAUCUCUCUCUGUAUGAGAAAUCUCUCCCAAAUCUCUCCAAGUAUGUAAAAUCUCUCCCAAAUAUCUCUCUGAAUGAGAAAUCUCUCCAAGAAUGUCAAAUCUCUCCAAGUAUGUGAAAUCUCUCCCAAAUCUCUCUCUAUAUGAAAAAUCUCUCCAAGAAUUUCAAAUCUCUCCCAAAUCUCUCCAAGUAUGUGAAAUCUCUCCCAAAUAUCUCUCUGAAUGAGAAAUCUCUCCAAGAAUGUCAAAUCUCUCCCAAAUCUCUCCAAGUAUGUGAAAUCUCUCCCAAAUCUCUCUUUGUAUGAAAAAUCUCUCCAAGAAUGUCAAAUCUCUCCCAAAUCUCUCCAAGUAUGUGAAAUCUCUCCCAAAUAUCUCUCUGAAUGAGAAAUCUCU